rnacentral:lncRNA from 1 species
AUUGGUGACAGAUUAUUUCUUGGUGGCAAGUGCUGGAAAAGAUCGAAAGACCUGCCGUCCCUGACCUUACUAACCAGUAUUUCGAGCAAUCUGGUUUGUGUCUUACUGGUACUGCGUAUCACGUCAUGCAGUUUAUUGAUUCCUCGACUAAGCGUCUGUUCAACCGUCCGAGACUGCUCAUCAAGUCGUUUACGAAGAAACGAUCUU